UAUAGCAAUACGCAACUGACGACUGUGAAUGGCAAGCCGCUCACCAUGAUUUUUCUGAGUAUGGUAGGAUACGACACAUUUUUGUCAACCAGGUUUGGGGUUUGGCCUAGGGCUCAUUUGAGGUUUGAACAGCGUUCUUAUCAAUCUGUCAUUUCCCUUUUGGGAAGUGUGUGUGUGGUUAAGGUUUUGACUAUGAUUCUAUGGCAACAAUAUUGCCAAAGAAAAGUUGUCCAACCCUUACUUGGCAAGCUCUGUGAAUUUUCGUUUAGAAAUGAUCCAACGGCAUGGGACUCGUCCAGAUGCUCCAGGUAAGUGUGAUAGGAAUGUGAAUACAGGCUACAGCUGACUAAGAAAGAGAGGGGAGGCCGAGUCAGAAUGCAAGAUAAAUGUCAGCUGUCUGACUGACUGAUAAGCUUCUCCAACAGCAUUCCUCCUAAAAAAGAGAAAACGAGAAAGAAUUUGACACAACAGUGACGGAAACAGAACUGAUGUGCUGGCCGGCAGAACGAGCCGGACACUCACCUCAGGCAGCAAUAUUGAGAAGCCCCACCCAGAGACACUGUAGCUCUCCCCAAACAUAGCUGAAGAGCCAUGUGGUAUCCAGAUUCCACUAAGACCAUUUAAGACAUUAGUGCAACUUAUUAUUCACUGGGAGUGUUUUUCUUUGGCAUGAUUGCUAUUUAUUUUGGGUAGCACAAAAAUGUUUUAAGCACAGUGGAUUAGGUUGAAAUCACUUAAUUUUGUAUAUUUCCAAUCUGUAAGGUGUUUUUGGACAUUUGAGUUAACUUUUAGAAUAAUAUUAGAAAUAUAUAAUUACAUGUCAGAUAAUACAUAAUAUUGUGGCACAUCCAAUUUGAACACCGUGUAUUGUAAAAUUAUUUGGAAACCUACACCACAGUUAAAAGGAUAGCUCACCCAAAAAUCGUUUACUCUUUACAAAUCUGCAUGCAUUCCUUUCUUCUCUGGAUCACAAAGAAUAUAUUUUUAAGAAUGUUUCGGGCUCAAAACCAUUUUGGGUGUCAUUGAUUUCCAUGUUUUUGUCCAUACUAUGGAAGUCAGUGGGACCCGAAAUCAUCUGCAGCACUUUUGUCGCAAUUUGCUUAGUUUUAGCUACUUGUUUUUAUGUUACUCAUUAAAACUGCUCAGAAGUUCUUGUGUAAAUGUCUUAAUUUGUUUGUCAUUAUGUUUGCUAUUUCUAUGCCAUUUAAAACCUGGCGUAAGUGUCUUAAUACUUUUUUUGGGCCACUGUGUUUAAAAUAGCAGUACUAGUCGCUCCAAAAUUGAUUGCGUUUUGUCCACGUGAGACCUUUUAAGGUGUUCCGUUCAAACAAAUCUUUAAACUAUUUAAGUCAAGAUAGACGGAUCACAGAUCAAAGUUGGAAGUAUUUACAAAGUACAUAAGUGGACUUCACUGCUUAUGUCAAGAAUGCAGAGAAUCUACAGAACAAUGAAAGAUGAUAACGAUUAUUCCAGUACAUUCUUGCUGCAUUGUGUUACUGCUGGUCCUGAUGUUUAUUCAACAGUGUUUGACACAGAUUUCACGGGCCCCAUUAACCAUGGGCUCUCCAGGUUCAGUUUGCAUAGCCUAGCAACUGCCUCAGUUUCCUGCCUUUGUAAACUCUCAUUUCCCCUACUUCACCUUGGAAAAACGUACAAGCAGAGGCAAACAAUCCAUCAGUGCUCAGCCCCUCAGACACACACUGUAGUUUGACCAAGAAAAGUGAAAAUAGCAUAAGGUUUUGACAUGAAUGCCAAAAAACAUCUGGUUAACACAUUCAGUAGAUCCUCUAUUGUUUGAUUCUUCUCACACAACUCAAUUGUUUAGUUCUACCACUCUUUUUUUUUUUUUUAGUUAAAACAUAAAGUGACAAGUUAUAGGUUGUUUUGCAUGUUUUUAAUCAUCCACUCUAUACAUUUGAAGUGGAUCAAAACCUUUCAUCAAAGUUGUCCUAAAACCUAAAACAAAAUGCAUUCUUGUCUUAGGACAACUUUGAUGAACUUUUUUGAUCCACUUCAUAUGUUGAUUACUGUAGUUUUCCUUGCUUGGGGAAAAGAGUCCAAAAAAGCAGCAUCCGUGAUCCACCUAGAAGAGGACCAUCCUAUUGUCUUGCCAACUCUUGCAACACACAAUAAGGACCUUUUUAAAAGCAGUACAGAAAGCAGGGGAUUCCUCUUCCUGAAUGGUGCUGAUGUCACUGAGUAUCACCUCUCUGUGAAGUACUGAGAGGAAAGGUCCAUCUUUUUUUAUACAUUGUAUAUGGAAAACCAACUUCUUUAAGUGACUUCUUGGUCAUGUUUUCGGCAUCUAAGGAGAAUCCUGCAUCAUGUGGAAGGAGUUUCCCAACCUCACCUCUCUCCCAGACAGCAUGGUUGCUGCAGUCUAAACUGAAGACACACAUGGGCCUUUCACACCACUUGUGGAAAAUUCCUCUCCGCUCCGUCUUUGCUUUAGGGAGGAUACACUCAUUUAGCUCCCACUUAUAUCUGUGUGCCUGCCUUCACGUAGGUUAUAUGCCCUGUAGGCAUCUGUGGACUGAGGGGUGUGCCAGGGCAGGGCUUUUUCAAUGAGAUUCUUUCCUACACAGUUACUGGUAUAUUCCUCCCAUCCACAUCAAGUUGAAGAAGAUUAAUGACGCCUCUUAUGUCUGCUAUGCCUCAUUGAAACAUCCCUCAACCAUCUUCCCAUCUGCUGUUUUACCUGAUAAACACUGCGUCAAUAGUCGGAAGCUCUCGGUCAGAGCUACAUGGAAAAAGUGGACAUCUCUCAAAGGAACCGUUUUCACAUCUCCUGUCCAAAAAGAGUUGCAGUCGUUUCCUCAAGCUACUGCGAGCUGGAGGACAAUGCGAGCCAGAGGAUGAGGGUGUGUCUAAGGCCUCAGGGGGAAGAUUUAUGCUCUCUGUCCCAUUUGUAUGGGCUUCCACUGACAGGAGGUGUUCCCCACUCCAGAAGAAGAGUUCUCCCACACAGCCGACCCACGUGGCGAGCAGGGAUGUCCUCGGAUAAUUUUAGCCAGCUGACGUCGUUCUGUGUUCCUACCUUACAUCUGUUCCUCCUUUUGUUCCUGAUGUCUGCCGUUAACUGUAUCGCUUUAUCGGCUCCCAAUUUUAAUGUCAAACACAUGUGCUUCUGCAAGGAACAAAGUCGUUUGAGAGAAACUCACAAGUCUGCUUUCCUCAAGCACAAAGAUUUGGACCCCAUUUACUUUCAUUUUAUGGACAAAAACAUAAAGAAAUUCAACUAUGAAUUAUCACUUUAAUGGCAUUAUUUCCCCACUAAUUUUACUCGGAUACCUAAUCUUUUCCUGUAAUCUCAUGAUCUCAGAUUCAUUUAUGCAUGUGGCGCAGGCAUCAGGGAAAAUCUCACAGAGAGCUCACAUUCAUCACAACUCCAACAUAUCCUGCCUGGAGUCCGUUGCAGGAAAGAGUGGGUCACCGCAGCAUUAUGUAAUGGGCUCUUUGCUGUCAUGGCAACGCUGUGGGAACUGGAGCUGUGUAUUUGUGUGGCGGGAGGCUGCAGUGUGUGUUGACAGAAUGUUCCUCAUGUUGGGUUCCUGGAUGGGCCUGGAUAAACACUCAGUCAGGGAGUUCCCUCUCUGCCACAAUUCGGGUUUGGAGUUCUGCGCGGGGUUGUAUUACUACGUUUUUGGUCACAUCCACUCAUUUUUCCACAGGAUCUACAAGUUUUGUACAAUACCCUGCCUGGAAAAGGGAUGUAUUCUGAAAGAAUAUCUGGCCAGAUCAAUUCAACAAAGGUUAAAAAAAAAUUGGGCUAUGAAAGCAAAAUGUAUAUGUACAUUUACAUUUAAUAAUUUAGCAGACACUUUUAUCCAAAACGACCUACAAAUGAGGACAGUAGAAGCAAUCAAACCAAAAAAGAGCAACAAUAUGUAAGUGUUGCGACAAGUCCCGGUUAGUCUACACAAUACAUGCAAGUUUUUUUUAUACAUACACACAGGGCCUAAAACAAACUUUUUGCCACACCAGCCAAUGGCCGGUGGCGUGAUAAAAUUUACCGGCCAAAAUAUAUUUUUACUGGCCAUUUUUGCAAAAACAGGCAGUUAUUACUACUACAAUGACUAAACAUAUGUUUUUAAUUUGUCCUGCUACUGGUGUCUCUAUUAAAUGCAUUGUUCCUCAAUUUUACCUAUUAAUUUUAGCCAUUCAACAUUACAGUAUAAUCUAAAGCCAUUAUUUUUAACAUUUAAUAGGCUCUGAAAUAUAUAACAACUUUUAAUUUAAGUGAUUUUAAAACAAUCUUCACAUAAACUAUAAAUUGUAUAUGCAUAAACUAUAAAGAUUAAUCUUUAUUCAAGCUACAAAAGUUAACCAGCGACUAAAACAGUCCAAUGAUUUCUCUUUUUCUUUUGUUCUUUGAUUUACAUCAAUGACAGACUUCAGCAGGUUUCACUUUAAAUCAGCGCUGUCUCUUUAAAACCUGAUGCACAUGACGCGGAUCUGACACACAUUCGAUUUUCUCCCAACUCUUUACAGUCAUUUAAGACUACGUUUACGAGGUAACUCGCCAAAACCACGUAUUUUUACAUAAUUGUGUGUGUUUUCGUCUGCUGCAGCGCUACUGGUGCGCUGUCUGAAGUGGCUCUGCGGAACACGCAGCCUUUCAACUAUAUACUACACUGCACCGUUUUCUAUGUGUCAUUUAUAACU